GACGAACGCUGGCGGCGUGCUUAACACAUGCAAGUCGAACGGAAAGGCCCUGCUUUUGUGGGGUGCUCGAGUGGCGAACGGGUGAGUAACACGUGAGUAACCUGCCCUUGACUUUGGGAUAACUUCAGGAAACUGGGGCUAAUACCGGAUAGGAGCUCCUGCUGCAUGGUGGGGGUUGGAAAGUUUCGGCGGUUGGGGAUGGACUCGCGGCUUAUCAGCUUGUUGGUGGGGUAGUGGCUUACCAAGGCUUUGACGGGUAGCCGGCCUGAGGGGGUGACCGGACAAUGUGGGACUGAGAUAGGCCCCAGACCGCUGGGGGGGGAAGGGGGGGGGAAUAUUGAAAAGGGGGGGGAAGCCUGAUGAAGCAACGCCGGGGGGGGGAGGGCGGCUUUGGGGUUGAAAACCGCUUUCCCCUGUGACGAAGGGGGAGUGGCGGAAAGGGGUAAAGAAGCACCGGCUAAAUACG
rnacentral:rRNA from 1 species